CGAUAGGACUUGGCUCUGCCUGGCCACUCCUCCUCCAAUGGGGGAAUUCCUGGGCUUGCCUCUGUCUUGGCUCCAGCUCAGGUGUCAGUCUCAGCCCUGUCCCAGCCAGGAACAAUGGGCCAGGCAGGGCCAGUCACCCCCUGUCCCUGGGGGCUCCACCCACGGCCCUGGACUAUUUUCAGCCCUUGCAGAUGGAGUCAGAAGAGGAUUUUCCACUCCCAGUACAAUGACUGCCCUGGACCAUUGUCCAGCAGUGACGCGGGGGACCUGCCUGCCCCAAAAUAUCUCCUGCCCCUAGUUUCCAAGCCUCUUUGCCCUGCUCCUCACCUCCUGGCCCUGCUCCUUACCUCCCCACCCUGAUGUCAUUUCCUGGGGCUCUUAACUCCUGAAGGCCAUUGUGAAACAUCACGUGAGACUCCUGGGAGACACAACCAGUUGGAAUGAGUUUUCCCUCCUGGCAGGGACCCCAGGGAUUGUUUGGCUGCUUAGUGGGACUGGUGGCCCAGAGAGGGCUGUGCCUUACCCAGUCACACAGCAGUCAGUGUGAAGCUUAGGUGUAAGCCCAGGGCUCUUUGGCUGCUCCCACUGCCUCAGCCAACUUCAUUAGCUCCAGUCUGUGGCUCCUGGACUGGAGCUACAGUGGUGAGAGCUCACCACUGAGCUUCCUGGGAUGGGCACCUGGGAUAGCAGCCCAAGUGGUGUGGGUGGAGAGGUGCAGCUCAUGCUCUGACCUUGGAGUGAGCCCAGUGCAGGGGCCUGACCUUAAACCCUUUCUCCCCACUGAGUCCCAUUUUUACCAAAUGUGGCUGUUAGGAACUGAAUGUUUGUGUCCCCCGCCCCACAAAUCCAUAUGUCAAAAUCCCAACUGCCAAGGUGAUGGUAUUAGAAGGUGGGGCCUUUGGGAAGUAACCAGGUCCUAAGGGUGCAGCCCUCAUGAAUGGGUUUAGUGCCCUUACAGAAUGGACCCCAGAGAGCUCCUCACCCUCUUUCCACCAUGUGAGGAUAUAAUGAGAAGUUGGCAGUCUGCAACCUGGAAGAGGUCCCUCACCAGAUCCCAACCAUGCUGGCACCCCGAUCUUAGACUUCCAGUCUUCAGAAUGGUGAGAAAUAAAUGUCUCUUGUUUCUAAUCCACCCAGUCGGUGGCAUUUUGUUAUAGCAGCCCACGCUGACUGUGACUGAACUCAGGGUGACAGAGCAGCAGCUCUGGGGCAAAGGGGAGGGUGGGGGCCACAGGGCAGCUGAUGCAGGAGCAGGGCUCUGGCACAGUUCAGCCAUCACCAAUUCUGGGACUGCAAAUUCAGUUUCUUCAUCUGGAAAAUUGAACUGGUAAUACCAAUACCUCUUUUCCCGGUUUACUAGACAGAGACAAUGCAGUGAGGCACAAACAUGCAACUGUUUGAUUUUCCUCCCACCCAUGCUCCCUGCUCAGUGACGUGUGAUUUUCCUUUCCCAUCCAUAAACUGCGCAUUUGGCAAACUCCAAACUUUUGAGUCACUUUUGGGUAACAAAGUCAGGUUUAAGAUUUCCAUCGCCUGCUUAAUUGAAUGCUCACCUGUCCUCUUCCCCCAUGCUGUGAGGACCUUCAUCACUCCUCUUCUGGGUCCCUCUCUCCUCUAGGUGUUGGGGCAGGGUGGGGAGGAAAGGGACCAAUGUGUCUUUCCUGGUGAUGCUACAGCCCUCUCUUGCUGACCUUGCUUCCUGGGCCAUCAGUGCCCCCUGCACAGAACUCUCCAAACAUCAGUCCACACCUUUGUAAAAACAGUCUCUCCGCUAAGCUAUCCCAAAAUGACCUGAUUAGAGUGUGCAACGUCUUUCCUGCUGGGACUCUGACUGAUACCCUGGUCUCCCUGAGUGAUUUUCCUGCACACCCUGCUGGGGAUGUGGAAGCCUGUCCCCCUCCCACCCCACACCCCACACUUGGCUGAGAUCUCACAGUGGCAAAGAUGUCUUUGAAUCCAUGGUGCCCAGGGUUCAGCGUGUAGAGUGAGGUGGGGUGUGUAGAGAGCUGGGGCAAGGAACCCUGAGAAGAUGUCUUACCCCAGUUGUUUCCAGGUUUCUUUAGAAAGCGGGCUAUUUUACCCCAUGUGUCCUCAGAUUUAUGUCCUGGAACCAAAUUCCAAAUCAGCAGCCACAUGAAAAGUCCCCUCCUCUCUGGCGUGGAAUUAAACUGUUAGACCUGCCUUUGUGACCAAAGCAAUUGUAAAACGUGGGGGAGGAAAUUAAAAGCCUGCCACCUUAGUCCA
rnacentral:lncRNA from 1 species